rnacentral:tRNA from 1 species
GGGCCUCCAGGGCGAGCCGUGGGUCUGCUUCCCAAGCAGACAGCGCGGGUUCGAUUCCCGUCAGCCCCUCCA